ACAGCAGUAGCCACGGGAAAACGGAGGGUGCAAGCGUUAUCCGGAUUUAUUGGGUUUAAAGGGUCCGUAGGCGGAUCUGUAAGUCAGUGGUGAAAUCUCACAGCUUAACUGUGAAACUGCCAUUGAUACUGCAGGUCUUGAGUAAAUUUGAAGUGGCUGGAAUAAGUAGUGUAGCGGUGAAAUGCAUAGAUAUUACUUAGAACACCAAUUGCGAAGGCAGGUCACUAAGAUUUAACUGACGCUGAUGGACGAAAGCGUGGGGAGCGAACAGGAUUAGAUACCCCAGUAGUCCCUGUCUCUUAUAC
rnacentral:rRNA from 1 species